GUGCACCAGUCGAGAAACCUCCGCAAUGCGGGAAACCGCGACGGGGGACCCCGAGUGCCGUGGCAAUGCUACGGCUUUUCCGGAGUGUAAAAAGCUCCGGGAAUAAGGGCUGGGCAAGGCCGGUGGCAGCCGCCGCGGUAAUACCGGCGGCCCGAGUGGUGGCCGCUAUUAUUGGGCCUAAAGCGUCCGUAGCCGGGCCCGUAAGUCCCUGGCGAAAUCCCACGGCUCAACCGUGGGGCUUGCUGGGGAUACUGCGGGUCUUGGGACCGGGAGAGGCGAGGGGUACCCCUGGGGUAGGGGUGAAAUCCUAUAAUCCCAGGGGGACCGCCAGUGGCGAAGGCGCCCCGCUGGAACGGGUCCGACGGUGAGGGACGAAGGCCAGGGGAGCAAACCGGAUUAGAUACCCGUGUAGU
rnacentral:rRNA from 1 species